rnacentral:tRNA from 1 species
GCAUCGGUGGUUCAGUGGUAGAAUGCUCGCCAGCCACGCGGGCGGCCGGGGUUCGAUUCCCGGCCGAUGCA